rnacentral:rRNA from 1 species
AGUGAACGCUGGCGGCAGGCCUAAUACAUGCAAGUCGAACGGCAGCACAGCAGAGCUUGCUCUGUGGGUGGCGAGUGGCGGACGGGUGAGGAAUACGUGGGAAUCUGCCCAGUCGUGGGGGAUAACGUAGGGAAACUUACGCUAAUACCGCAUGCGCCCUUCGGGGGAAAGCCGGGGACCUUCGGGCCUGGCGCGAUUGGAUGAGCCCACGUCGGAUUAGCUAGUUGGCGGGGUAAAGGCCCACCAAGGCGACGAUCCGUAGCUGGUCUGAGAGGAUGAUCAGCCACACUGGAACUGAGACACGGUCCAGACUCCUACGGGAGGAAGCAGUAGGGAAUAUUGGACAAUGGGCGCAAGCCUGAUCCAGCCAUGCCGCGUGAGUGAAGAAGGCCCUCGGGUUGUAAAGCUCUUUUGUCCGGAAAGAAAAGCGCCGGGUUAAUACCCUGGUGUCCUGACGGUACCGGAAGAAUAAGCACCGGCUAACUUCGUGCCAGCAGCCGCGGUAAUAC